rnacentral:rRNA from 1 species
AGAGUUUGAUCCUGGCUCAGGAUGAACGCUAGCGGCAGGCUUAACACAUGCAAGUCGAGGGGCAUCGGGAGGGAAGCUUGCUUUCCUUGCCGGCGACCGGCGCACGGGUGAGUAACACGUAUGCAACCUGCCCUCUUCAGGGGGACAACCUUCCGAAAGGGAGGCUAAUCCCGCGUAUAUCGGUUUCGGGCAUCCGAGAUCGAGGAAAGAUUCAUCGGAAGAGGAUGGGCAUGCGGCGCAUUAGCUUGACGGCGGGGUAACGGCCCACCGUGGCGACGAUGCGUAGGGGUUCUGAGAGGAAGGUCCCCCACACUGGUACUGAGACACGGACCAGACUCCUACGGGAGGCAGCAGUGAGGAAUAUUGGUCAAUGGGAGAGAUCCUGAACCAGCCAAGCCGCGUGAGGGAAGACGGCCCUAUGGGUUGUAAACCUCUUUUGUCGGAGAACAAAACCCGGGACGUGUCCCGGACUGCGUGUAUCCGAAGAAAAAGCAUCGGCUAACUCCGUGCCAGCAGCCGCGGUAAUACGGAGGAUGCGAGCGUUAUCCGGAUUUAUUGGGUUUAAAGGGUGCGUAGGCGGUCCGUUAAGUCAGCGGUAAAAUUGCGGGGCUCAACCCCGUCGAGCCGUUGAAACUGGCAGACUUGAGUUGGCGAGAAGUACGCGGAAUGCGCGGUGUAGCGGUGAAAUGCAUAGAUAUCGCGCAGAACUCCGAUUGCGAAGGCAGCGUACCGGCGCCAGACUGACGCUGAGGCACGAAAGCGUGGGGAUCGAACAGGAUUAGAUACCCUGGUAGUCCACGCAGUAAACGAUGAAUGCUGGUUGUCCGGGUCGAAUGAGAUCUGGGCGGCGAAGCGAAAGCGAUAAGCAUUCCACCUGGGGAGUACGCCGGCAACGGUGAAACUCAAAGGAAUUGACGGGGGCCCGCACAAGCGGAGGAACAUGUGGUUUAAUUCGAUGAUACGCGAGGAACCUUACCCGGGCUCAAACGGGAGUGGAAUGGACCAGAGACGGUUCAGCCUACGGGCCGCUUCCGAGGUGCUGCAUGGUUGUCGUCAGCUCGUGCCGUGAGGUGUCGGCUUAAGUGCCAUAACGAGCGCAACCCCCGCCGGCAGUUGCUAACGGGCAAUGCCGAGGACUCUGCCGGGACUGCCGCCGCAAGGCGAGAGGAAGGCGGGGAUGACGUCAAAUCAGCACGGCCCUUACGUCCGGGGCGACACACGUGUUACAAUGGGCGGUACAGCGGGAAGCCAGGCGGCGACGCCGAGCGGAACCCGAAAGCCGUUCUCAGUUCGGAUUGUAGUCUGCAACCCGGCUACAUGAAGCUGGAAUCGCUAGUAAUCGCGGAUCAGAAUGCCGCGGUGAAUACGUUCCCGGGUCUUGUACACACCGCCCGUCAAG